GGCGGCAUAGCCAAGUGGUAAGGCAGAGGUCUGCAAAACCUCCACCCCCAGUUCGAGUCUGGGUGCCGCCUUCA
rnacentral:tRNA from 1 species